CCAUCCCUACGGGGGGCAGCAGUGAGGAAUAUUGGUCAAUGGACGAGAGUCUGAACCAGCCAAGUAGCGUGAAGGAUGACUGCCCUAUGGGUUGUAAACUUCUUUUAUAUGGGAAUAAAACGUUCCACGUGUGGGAUUUUGUAUGUACCAUAUGAAUAAGGAUCGGCUAACUCCGUGCCAGCAGCCGCGGUAAUACGGAGGAUCCGAGCGUUGUCCGGAUUUAUUGGGUUUAAAGGGAGCGUAGUUUGAUUGUUAAGUCAGUUGUGAAAGUUUGCGGCUCAA
rnacentral:rRNA from 1 species